CUGGCGGCGUGCCUAAUACAUGCAAGUCGAACGGUCUUUCUAUGGAAGCUUGCUUCCACUGAGAAGAUAGUGGCGAACGGGUGGAGUAACACGUGGGUAACCGUAGCCCAUAAGAGGGGGAGUAACAUCCGGAAACGGGUAGCUAAUACCGCAUAGUUUUCUUGAUCGCAUGAUCGGGAAAGGAAAGACAGCCUUUGUGCUGUCGCUUAUGGAUGGACCCGCGGCGUAUUAGUUAGUUGGUGAGGUAACGGCUCACCAAGACGAUGAUACGUAGCCGACCUGAGAGGGUGAUCGGCCACAUUGGGACUGAGACACGGCCCAAACUCCUACGGGAGGCAGCAGUAGGGAAUCUUCCGCAAUGGACGAAAGUCUGACGGAGCAACGCCGCGUGAGUGAAGAAAAGGUUUUCGGAUCGUAAAACUCUGUUGUCAGAGAAGAACAAGUUGGAGAGUAACUGCUCCAGCCUUGACGGUAUCUGACCAGAAAGCCACGGCUAACUACGUGCCAGCCGCCGC
rnacentral:rRNA from 1 species